rnacentral:sRNA from 1 species
AAACAGGCCCUAGCCGGCCGGGCAGUGCUCUCCCCGGGGGCCUGGCAGGUUUACUGGCUGCAGCAGCAGCUUUCCUUGUGGGAGGGUCUUGGGCCAUGUGCCCUGCGGCUGGCCUGUAGGCUGUCACAGGUUUAUUCUUGGUCCUGCAGACAAUCAUGACAUCAUCUCCAUGAAGCUGUUCCAGCUGAUGGUGGAGCACACGCCUGACGAGGAGAGCAUCGACUGGACCAAGAUCGAGCCCAGCGUCAACUUCCUCAAGUCGCCCAAAGACAACGUGGACGACCCCACGGGGAACUUCCGCAGCGGGCCCCUGACGGGGUGGCGGGUGUUCCUGCUGCUGCUGUGCGCUCUCCUGGGCAUCGUUGUCUGCGCCGUGGUGGGGGCCGUGGUGUUCCAGAAGCGGCAGGAGCGGAACAAGCGCUUCUACUGAGCGGCGCCUCCGGCGGGGCCUGUCCCUGAGCCCAGGAGCCAAUGUGAACUUUUUUUUUUUACCGGGAUUAUAAAAGAACAACAAGAUGACCUUAUUUCUUAACUGUUUCAAAUAAAUGAUUAAAGUAUUUUCA